rnacentral:lncRNA from 1 species
CUCUCCUUGGACUUUGAAUAUAAAACAUGUGAACCAUUUCUAAACAGAAAAAAAUGAACUGCAACAACAACAGAGAAAUUGACAGAAACGCUCGACUACACAUUUCGUGCACAUUAAAGAUUAAUCGGAGUAACCAUAUCAAUAUUACAUGCUUAUAAUUAACUUAUCAAUGAUGAUACCCCACAAAUUUUCUUAUCCUGAUUCCUGAUCAUCAUAUCAUCAGUGAUGUUUAGGGUCAGGUCCUCCUGGACUAUACCGCACCGGAUUAUAAUGGCUUUCCACACUGCUGUCUCCUUCAUCUCCAAGCUCAAUCACUUCUUUCCUCUCCAUAAUUUCUUUGAAAUAUUCAGUUAACUUCAUUCUCUUUUUGAAGGAUUCAUCAGGCCGAGCUUCUAACUUGACUAGCAUUACUGACAGCAAUAUAAAGCACAAGAAAAAUUUCCAGCAACCCAUUUUCCUUAAAGAAGUUGGGAGUCUAGCAUGUUAAUAUUAAGAGGUAUACCUGUAUAUAUAUGUGUGUGUGUGUCUAGAGAGAGAGAGAGAAAAUAUUCUUCAGUUGAUGAUGUUCAAACAAAGUGCGGGCUGCCAAAUGCUUGCACACAUAAUUUCUUGUCCCAUCUUGAUUUAAU